rnacentral:lncRNA from 1 species
UUUUUUUUAAGAUUUUACGGAUUUUUUCAUGAGAGAUACAAAGAGAGGGAGAGACACAGGCCGAGGGAGAAGCCGGCUCCCUGCAGGGAGCCCGAUGGGACCCUGGGAUCCUGACCUGAGCCAAGGGCAGCCGCUCAACCACUGAGCCCUCAAGUAAAACUGGACUAGAGUGGGCACUUGACUUUGGGAACCAACCCAGAGGCUGGCUGUCCACCUCUAUCACAAAAGAGACACUGAAACAAUCAUAUUUCAUAGUCCUUGGAGAUGUGAAGCCCAUACUCCAGGAUGACGUUUCCGCCUCUGUUUUAUGGCCUUCCACAAUCCCCUUACCUUCUCAACUGGCCAAUAAGCUUUCCUUGCUGGCCUCCAGCCUUGGAUCAAUCAGCAACUUGCUUGCUCAGCCCCUACAAAUGAGCUAUUGAGUAGCUUGGAGAGGUUUCCAACUGGGCCAUCACGAAGCUAUAGUCACCAGAGGGAGCUGGUUGUUAAAUAUUUACCAGGAUACCAUUGCUGGGACCUAUGGAGCUACUCUUCUGCUAUCAGAACUGCCCCUGAGAGCAGGGGAGGACACAACAUGGGCUUGAAGUACUUCUUGAACGUUACCAGUACUUUGCUACAGGAAGGAAGCCGUCACCCCUGGAUCGCGUGCUACCGUCAGGAAGAUGGGUUAGGGAGUGCCGAGCAUUAAGAAACAGCCAAGAAGAUGCAAAACCAAGAGGUAAAGAUGCCAGCAGGCCUAGCUGGGUUUUCUGUGCUGGCAAGCGAGGUCUAACAUGGAAUAUCCAGAAAUCACACUGCAGUUCCACCAUUCUUGAUGUCCUCCCAGUUACAGACACCUGGAAAAAUCGAGACUUGUGCUCACCAUCCGAGCAUCUCUGGAAAAUGAGGGCUCGUAUUUUCAACCGAACUGCAUCCUUGACGACGGAUGCUGCCUUGGGUAGAGGGGAAAAGAGAAAACUCCCAAAGACCCACAGAAACAAGAAAGCCUUUCAGAGGACUCUACCGAAACGUGGUCAAAGGACAAACGGAUCAGCCCUCUGCAUCAAUCGCCCACACAUUCAUCAGAGCGGUGAAAAAUACCUCCAGAAGAUUUGAACCAGAAUCUUAAACUCUAAAGAGUUAAUGUAACAUUUAUUAAAGAAGCAGGAAUAUGUUUCAAACAAGUCACUUGUCAGAGUUUGGUUGGCUUAAACCAAAAUUGGCAAAAUUGUUUAGCCUUGCCUUUGAAGCUGUCACUUUAUGCGUGGGAUAAGGAGAAUUUUAAAGGCAAAUGGCAGGGCAUGGAUCUGCGAUCUGGAGGGGUUUU